rnacentral:rRNA from 1 species
AUUGAACGCUGGCGGCAUGCCUUACACAUGCAAGUCGAACGGCAGCACGGGAGCAAUCCUGGUGGCGAGUGGCGAACGGGUGAGUAAAGUAUCGGAACGUGCCCAGUCGUGGGGGAUAACGUAGCGAAAGUUACGCUAAUACCGCAUACGAUCUAUGGAUGAAAGCGGGGGAUCGCAAGACCUCGCGCGAUUGGAGCGGCCGAUAUCAGAUUAGGUAGUUGGUGGGGUAAAGGCUCACCAAGCCGACGAUCUGUAGCUGGUCUGAGAGGACGACCAGCCACACUGGGACUGAGACACGGCCCAGACUCCUACGGGAGGCAGCAGUGGGGAAUUUUGGACAAUGGGCGAAAGCCCGAUCCAGCCAUGCCGCGUGCAGGAUGAAGGCCUUCGGGUUGUAAACUGCUUUUGUACGGAACGAAAAGGUUUGGGCUAAUAAGCUGAGCUCAUGACGGUACCGUAAGAAUAAGCACCGGCUAACUACGUGCCAGCCGCCACUGUAA